GGCAAAGUAAAGAGCCUGGACAGGCAGCUCUGCCACAAUGUAAGUGGAAAAUGUCAGAUGAUCUGAUCGAUCGGAUCCAUCGGACAAGCUUGUUUACGGUCGGACAAAAAGUUUACCGAUGGUGAAAUGACGUCAUUUGAAAGCCAGAGUUGCAGAGUUAAGAGCCUGGGCAGGAGGUUACGAUGUAGCGGCCAAAUGUUAGAUGGUCCGAUCGAUCGGAUCCAUCGGUAAGCGUGUUUACGGUCGGAUACAAAUUUUACCGAUGGUGAAGAAAUAUUCAUAGGGGAGGUGAGUGAGGAGAAUAGCUAUUUAGAAUAGAAUAUCAGCAUUUUCUGUACUAGAGUUG